rnacentral:rRNA from 1 species
AUUGAACGCUGGCGGCAGGCUUAACACAUGCAAGUCGAACGAGUGGCGGACGGGUGCGUAAUGUCUGGGAAACUGCCUGAUGGAGGGGGAUAACUACUGGAAACGGUAGCUAAUACCGCAUACCAUCGGAUGUGCCCAGAUUGGAUUAGCUAGUAGGUGGGGUAAUGGCUCACCUAGGCGACGAUCCCUAGCUGGUCUGAGAGGAUGACCAGCAACACUGGAACUGAGACACGGGCCAGACUCCUACGGGAGGCAGCAGUGGGGAAGAUUGCACAAUGGGCGCAAGCCUGAUGCAGCCAUGCCGCGUGUGUGAAGAAGGCCUUCGGGUUGUAAAGUACUUUCAGCGGGGAGGCGUUACCCGCAGAAGAAGCACCGGCUAACUCCGUGCCAGCAGCCGCGGUAAUAC